rnacentral:lncRNA from 12 species
UUUUUAAAAUACCUCACUAUUCAUAUGCUAUCGUUUCAUAAUUAUAAUCACAAACUUGCAGUUUAAUGGGGGAAAUAUGAACUAUACUGUUCAGAUGUGAAAUGGAAAGAUGAGAGUCCGCGUGAAACAAGAAAUCUUUCAGCCCAGGAGAUAUUUCUGUUCAAGUCAACCAUAGCCUGGAUCUUAUAAUUAGUCCUUCUGUGUCGGGGACGGGAUUUGUGAAGACAUUGGACAAACUUAGAGGAAUGCCUGUCAGUAUACUUCUCUAAAUAUUACUUACAGAAAUAAAAAAGCGAUGAAGAAAUGGGAGAGCUACAUGUGCACAUUAUUCCCACUGAAGCUUAUUAUCAAGAGUGGUUAGCUAAAUGUCUUUCCCAGCACCUUUGCACCCAAAAUGAGACCUCAUUUAUAUACUCAAGACAAUAGAAGAGAGAAGGGAAAGACAUUCACUUGCCCUAGUAAGGAUGAGGUCACCAUGAAGAGGACAUUUCUGUCAAUGGAGAAGUUUUCAGUUGAUAACAGACCCCUAGAUGGUCAUAUUUUAACCCUCGCCUCUCUCUUGGUCACUCUUGUCGCUGUCAUGCACAGUCAUUCCGUUCUCUGUCUUGUGAAUGAUUAUCACAAGUUGUCUCUCCUCUCGUCCUCAGACAUCCAUUUACCACCCUCAUCAAUGUGUCAUGACCUCAUAACAUUUUUUCCUGGUUUUAUUGUUUCAGCUCUCCGUCUGUUUUCACCAUUCCUUGUCCACAUGCUCCCAACUGCUCAAAAUGCUCUAGAAACCCUCAGGAAGCAUGUACAUUUUCUCCUCGCUCUGUGAGCACUGAUACUCAGUUUACCAACACCAGGACCUUAAAUCUCACCUAGUUCCAUAAUGAGAAGAAGAUGGCUGAGCAGUGCCCUGGGAGCUAAAGAAGUGUUUUGAGAGCCCACUGAUGUUCUGAAGUUGGCUAAACUGGCAAAACCAACCGCACCUCCUUCGUCAGCUACCCAGGUGGGGCACAGAGGCUGACCACAGCGACUGG